AGAUGGUAUAUGCUAAAUGUGACGUACCUGAUGACUCUUGCCUCCCGAUUGGUCGAAGGUUUAGCCUUGGGGGCGGGCAUUUAGAGGGCUGGUUGGUGACUUGGCUAAAGAGGUCCGGUCGAAGGGGCGGGUAGGUCCCGUCUGGGCGCAUGCGUACGAUACACGUGCGUCUGCUCGUCAAGGGCCAGCUGGGGCCUUCUAGUCGUUUGAACUUUAGCGAGACGGAAAGGCCCUGUGUUAAGCUAGCUAUGUUAAAGAUGGUACCAUCCGCUCUGCUGGCCUCUGUACUUUCACCCUCUCUGGUCUGGCAACUAUUCAUUUUCAUCGUAGGGGAUGAUUGUUAUGAAAGUGAGGAGCAGUGGCCUUGAAGUUUAGUUCUCAUUUACUAAAAGAUCUUAGUAAGCCAGUAGGUAGUUAAAAGGAGAUUGGUUUUAUCUAUUGGUUUUAUCUAUACUCCACCCUCUACUAGAUAUUGAUAUAUCUACCAAGGUCAAGCUAAAUCUGACCCUCAAGCUCCUGAUCUGUAAAAUGGAGAUGUUAGCUCUUGCAAGAUACUUGGGGAAAGAGUACCUCUUAGUUGCAGUGCUUAAUACACAUUGGAUGCGAUAAAUGAUUUUACAUUUAAAUAGUAUCCCCUGCCCUGACGAGAUGAUGACUGUAAUCUAUCUUUUUUUUUAUCCCUGAUAAGAGGAGGGGAAUGGCAUACCAUAGUAAUGGGGACCAAAUGUGCCCAUGCUAUACGUGGUUGUCCCAUUUAAGUACCUUUUUGGCCUUGAGAAUGAAAUGAAUCCUUGCAUAUGAAAAAGGGCCUCUAAUGUAAGGUAUUAAACUUUCCACUUCCUCCUUCUAAAGACAGAGAACUGUCACAACCACUGAGGAAAUGACUCAGACUUAUGUUAGUAGCCUUGUGGGGUAGAUAGAGCACAGCCAGUAAAUGGAGCUACUUCUUGGUCUUUUCCUUUACUUUUUCUGUUAAAGUUUGUCUCCCCCAUGCCCCCUCCACCUACACUAUUAACGUACUUAGCCUAGAAUAUGUCAAAGAAGCAAAUCAAGGGCCUGGCCUUGGCCAACAGCAAGCUUUCGUAUAAUUCCGCAAACAUAAACUGCCCUCAACCACCUGGGAUGGGUCUCUAGGUAACUUCCUUCUGUGACACCAGGUAUCUUCUUGUGAUGCAGGCCAAGUUCAGUAUUGCCCCUCCCCCACCUUCCUUAACAUCUCUGAUCAAAUUUCUUUUUCUUCCUUUCUCUCCCUCCCUUGCUUUCCUCCUUCCUCCUUCCCUUCCUUCCUUUUGUUCUUUCUUUCCUCAUCUGUGAAGGACCUAUUUAGCUAUAUUUAAGGCAAUGUGCUUUGUUCCAGGCAGAGUAAUUUGUCAUUCCUGCCUUCAACUCCGUUAUAAUCUAGAAGAAAAGAUCUAGAUAUGAAUAACUGAAAUUCAGUCCUCCUUUUCUUAGGUCCCCAUCAAUGUAUCCGUGUCUUGAAAGAAGUAAUGAUGGGAAAAAAGCAGAGAAGAUGGGUUACACAGAGCCCUGAAUCCUCAUCUUCACCCCGUCCUCAUCAUGAAGCAUCAUCCAGCUCUCUCGAUAUUUGGACCUUCCCCAUCUUUAAAGCAAAACAGACCUUCAUUUGUACUCGGUAGAUGGAAAGUUGAAUAGUGGCAAGCACUCGGAAUAUUACCAGAUCUGUGAGCUACUGCCUGGCCUGUUCCACUGACGACCUUUUCCAAUUGGGGAGCAGCUACUUUCAGGUCACUUCCUCUGGUGAAACCUCUACUGACUUCUACAGGCAGCCUGGUUCCUGACCUUUAAAGGCCCAGAGACCUUUUGUUUGGUAUGGGUGUUUGAUGCUUUCCUGGUAUUUGCAUGAUUUGUUGUUUAACUAUUCAUCCACUCAUUAACUCAUUCAUUUAUGUAAAACAUUUAUUUAAUGAGUACCUACUGUAUGCCAGGCCUGAUGUUAGGAGUUAAGUAUAAGUCAGAUAUAGGCCCUUCCCUCACAGAGCUUACUGUAUGGUAAACUGGUAGCCAGAAGCACACACGUAUACAUACAAUUAUAGCACAUUGAAAAUGUAAUAGGGGCUGGGCGGGUGCGCAGCCCUUUGAGCCUGGGUUAGAGGUCCACUCCACCAACAGCCUUGCAGCGGUCCUUGCAGCAGAGAGUGCGGUGAGAGGGGGAUCACGGCUUUCUCCCUGGGACCCUCCAGGUCCUCCGGCCUCGGGGCCAGCAGGUGAGCUGGGGGGCCUGGGGACAGGGCUGUGUACUGCGGGGCUCCAGAGUCCUCGCCACGGGCACCCAUUGGCCAGGCCCAGGCCUUGAAACAGCCGAGAACCUCUCCCUCAUCCCCACUUCUGUGACCUAAUGGCAGCGGCUGUCUUCUGCAGGACCUGGCCCCCGUUUGGGCGGCUUGAGGAACCUGAGGGCCUGUGGGGUCCUGUGCGCCUUGCCCCCUCAGUGAUGAAGGCUGGGCAGGGUCUGGGGACCUGGCCCUGAGGGCGCCGCCAGCUGAGAUCUGCCUCUUCAGCCCGGCCUGGGCACUGAAGGGAGGACCCAGACUGGGUGCCGGACAAAUGCUCCUGGGCAGGGUAACCGGCCUAUGCAAGGACCCCCUCCCCUUAGCCAGGGCCUGGACCUUGGAGGGCGAAAGUUGAGCCUUGGAACCUUGCCCUUUCUAGGUAGAACAGAGGAUAACAUUUGUUUUGGUGGAGGUUUACAGGAACAUGGUGACCUGACCUCAAGAACAAAGGAUCUGACACCAAGAAGUUUGCAGCAACUAACCAUGCCUCUCUCUUACCUUUCCUAUAAAAGAGCUUUGCUGAAAGCUUUUGGGGAGUUUGGGGUUUUUAAGGCAUGAGCCACCCCUCUCCUUGCAUGACCCCGCAAUAAACCUUUCUCUGCUCCAAACUCUGAUGUUUUGGUAUUGUUUUGCCUCACUA